GUACCGCUGGAUAGAGUGAGAAAGUACGUAUGUGUGAUCUUACGGUGUACUGCUGGAUAGAGUGAGAAAGUGCGUAUGUGUGAUCUUACGGUGUACCGCUGGAUAGAGUGAGAAAGUGCGUAUGUGUGAUCUUACGGUGUACCGCUGGAUAGAGUGAGAAAGUGCGUAUGUGUGAUCUUACGGUGUACCGCUGGAUAGAGUGAGAAAGUGCGUAUGUGUGAUCUUACGGUGUACCGCUGGAUAGAGUGAGAAAGUGCGUAUGUGUGAUCUUACGGUGUACCGCUGGAUAGAGUGAGAAAGUGCGUAUGCGGGAUCUUACGGUGUACCGCUGGAUAGAGUGAGAAAGUGCGUAUGCGGGAUCUUACGGUGUACCGCUGGAUAGAGUGAGAAAGUGCGUAUGCGGGAUCUUACGGUGUACCGCUGGA